CGGAGAGGUGUGUGAAAAGCGGGGGAGCCCCGCCCUUCUGCCCCCCAAACGGCAGGAUUUGUGAACCCCGGGCUGGGCCCCCCGGUUUAAUCUUGCCCCCCGGUUAUCAGCAUCCUUCAGGCUGCCACGCGAAGCGACGGUUGGUGGCCUGCCUGUUUUGCUGAGGAAAAGCUUAGGCGCUGCGGGGUGGGGCUUUGAGGCGUAAACACGAUCUCAGCUCAUUUUAUGUUGGUUUGGAUUCCUAACGAAUUUCCAGUGAAAGAGAAAUGGAGAGACAAGACACUUUCAGAUCAUGUCAAAUCUUGUACAUUAAAAUAAGGUAACCAGAAAUUCAAUAAGGAUAUAUAACAUGCUCAGGAGUGCUAUGAACAAACACCACAGUCAUGUGGACCUUCGUUUUUGUUUGCCUUUCUAUGUGUUGGAACUGCACUUCAACGUUCUAGAUAAAACCAGAGCCAUGAACUUGAACUGCGGUUUGCUUUUAAAGAUGUGUGUAUCAGUUAGGAAUGCUUUGGCUGGCAGUGAAAGGCAACUGACUAACAGCGGUUUCACAGAGACUAUUCUUCAUACAUUAAGAAAAGAUCUGGACACGGGCAACUGCCGGUGUUGGCUCAACGCCUCAGUUUCUGGGCUGGCAUCUUCCAGACGCUUCUGACCUUUUCCUUCCAGUCACCAGUGAUUAAAACAGCUCCAGAAGAAAGAAUCUGCCUUGGAUUUUGUCAUCGUUGUUGCUGAGUAUCUGAGCUCAUUCUGGUUUCCAAGAAGUGAAACCAUGUAACAUUUGAAACGCUUCACCUGUGACCAGAUUUAGAGACAAUGGCCACAAUAUACAUCUCCCAGCUUUGUUGUUUUUUGCGGUCUUGGGUUUCAGUCCUAGUUGCUGUAGAUUAAACUUGAUCAAAGUUUACAUGUACUAUGAGCCAAAGUUCAAUGACUUCUACUUCUGUGGCUGUCUGGAGGGUAUCACUUUGCUACAAAACACAAGAUGAUUAGUUCUGAAAUGUAAUGUCUUCUUGAAGCCCAGUUAGCAGGCUGCCUGAGAUCAUUUGUAGACUACCUCUCCAAGCUGACUGUCAGCAUGUUAAUUUUGCUCAAAUAAAGAGCACGUUUGCUCUC